UAAGAAUAGAAUUAUUAACAGUAUGGGUGAGGUUUCAGUUAAGAAUGAGUUGAAUACCAUUGUAAUCAAAAUGUCAAUCAACCUAAAUUGGUCACAUGUUAAACACAGGUCUAUUAAUUAGGCUAUGUUGUGGUACAUAGACAUUCAUUGUGGUACAGGAAUAGUUUUCUGGUUGAAUGUUCAGCUCAAGUCAUGAGCAGAUGAACAUGAAUCAGAAUAAGUUCAGACACGCCACCCAAAAAUCCACCAGAAUGCACAAAAUGACAUUGAGUUAAACCAGAGUGUCCUGGGAGUGGACCAUCAGCUGUCUCUGCUUCUCAGAAUGUGACCAGUGUCCAUCUCCAGCAGGCCGCCCCGAUCAACCGCUCUGGGCCCCACAAACCACCAGAAUGCAGCGUACAACACGGGUACUACGCCAAGUGAAUUACAAUUUCCUGAUACUUUGGUCGCUCCCGAAAAAAUCUCACUCUGAGGUUUUUUGAAAAGUUGGCAGCUCUGGUGUGUGUGUGUGUGUGUGUGUGUGUGUGUGUGUGUGUGUGUGUGUGUGUGUGUGUGUGUGUGUGUGUGUGUGUGUGUGUGUGUGUGUGUGUGUGGAGUCUGUUCCCCACCUAAUUAUCAGCCCUUUACGCUGCAACAGAACCAAGAAGUCAUCUGUGUUUUCCUUCAUGAGAUGAAAUGUUUCCAUCGAUGGACGUUUGCAUCAUGGCUGAACGCUUUCAGCAGAAAAGGAACCACGUUGUUUGUCUAAACGUGUAUUUUGGACGGUUGGUAUGAGGCGUUUGAGUGCAGCGUGCGGACGGCGGUAUGAGGCGUUUGAGUGCAGCGUGCGGACGGUGGUAUGAGGCGUUUGAGUGCAGCGUGCGGACGGUGGUAUGAGGCGUUUGAGUGCAGCGUGCGGACGGUGGUAUGAGGCGUUUGAGUGCAGCGUGCGGAUGGUGGUAUGAGGCGUUUGAGUGCAGCGUGCGGAUGGUGGUAUGAGGCGUUUGAGUGCAGCGUGCGGACGGUGGUAUGAGGCGUUUGAGUGCAGCGUGUGGACGGCGGUAUGAGGCGUUUGAGUGCAGCGUGUGGACGGCGGUAUGAGGCGUUUGAGUGCAGCGUGCGGACGGCGGUAUGAGGCGUUUGAGUGCAGCGUGUGGACGGCGAGCCUCGCUGUGAAACACGCCAGUGAAAACGUCUCAGUAUCCGACCGCUGCCUCGCGCCUCGAGACCAGCUGUCAGUCUUCAGACUUUGAGCUGCUGACGUGUGACUCUAUCAAGGAGUCUUGUUUUCACAUCUGUGGUCAGUUUGUCCGAGUGAAGCCCGUUCGGACCCCCCCCCCCCCCCCGCGUGGACCCCUUUCGGGGACCUGAAUACCCCGCCUUGGCUCGAGCACUUUUGGGAAGUGACUUUAGUUGCACAACCGUGUUGUUGUUGUCGGAAACGAGUCGUAAUUCAGUGACAGCUUUCUACUUUCUGUCCUGGUGUUUAUCCCACGCUGGAGACACGCGGAGACAUUCGUGAUGUGGUUGACCUUCGUCUUUUUGGGGAGACUCCCUCCUCGAGUCCCGCUUCUGGACAACAUUUCGACAGUUUACCUUCAGAAACACGCCAAGGAGCACACGCACGUAACAGACAUCACCUCGGCCUGACAGAGGUCAUUCGAGGCCACUUUGGGGGAAUGAAAACCUCUUUCCAGCCCUCUACGUGAUCUCACAGAAAUAUGUGCAACGAGCACGAAGUCCGUCCACUCGUUGCGAAAAGAACCGGCGCCGAACGUUCCGCCUGCUGCCGACCGAGACUCUGUUUGUCCCGUUGGUUGCUGCUGUUCUUCGUCCGUCGUUUGGCUUUUCGAUGAUCGAUCCCGGUUUCAGUCUGUUAUCGGUAAUCCUGUUUUGUUACGCAGCGUGCAUUCUGGGAAAUGGUCCUUCGUUGUUUCUCGGAAGCUUUGGGGAACCUGAACCACUAAUCCAUCGUCCCUCCGGCCAAGAAGGAAGACGAAGUCUCUGCAGGCGCAUUGUUCAUCCUCAAAAACAAUACGUGCAUUUAAAUAAAACCCUUUUUUUAAACGGAGGAUCAAAAUAAUGCUCCUCCAACCCUCAAUGAUGUUUUUAAUUAUGUUUUAAAGGAUGUGCAUUUUCUCACAAAUUGGUUUCAGGUUUUUAUUUCAUUAUUUAUGUCAAGACACAAUAAAUUUUCCUCAAAACUUAAGUUACUUAAUUCUUAACUCUUAAUUUGCAGGCAUUCCGCAGAAUGCUUCAUGAGUCUUGCUGAACGUGGUAACAGAGGACCUCUGUGUUGUCGGCUUGUUGCUGGAAACGUUCCUGCACAGUUUGUGCUGUUUUUCUUCUUUCUUUAUGGGACAUCAGGGGCCUUUUUUUCUGUGUGAAAACCUGAAAUGAUCCAAACUUGUUUCCUAUUGUGGAUUCGGUUUGCAUUAUUUUGGUUUCAACUAUAACUUUUGUUCCUUGUUUGUUUGCUGAGCGUCUCACCGAUUAUGCUCCGUGUUCUUUGCAUUUUACCGACAGUUACGUUAAACACUAGUUUACAGACUAAAAGUACGCGUUGACCUCAGUGAGGGCCGGUCGGCAUGCAGCUCACACGUC
ensembl:lncRNA